ACUUCUCUUUUAAAUGUAAAUCUAAAAUUCUUUUGCAAUAAGACAGCUACUUUAAGAUCUUGUAUAGAAUGUCCUGGAAGACUGAAGUGUUUUCCUAUUGGUUUCUCUGUUUUAUGAUUCCUGAUGUCAGAUUUAUGCCCAUUUAUUCUUUGGCAUAAAGUUUGUCCUGUUUGUCCAGUAUAGAGAGCUGAAGGGCACUGUUGGCAUUUGAUAGCAUAUAUAAUGUUGGAAGAUGAACAAUUAAAUAGGCCUGAGAUGGUUUAUGGAUGCAAAGAAAUUGCAAUGGAAGAUAAUCUUUUUUUUCCUUGCUAGACUGAAAACAGGGAACAGGGAAAGACAAAGCUGAGGGAUUCAAGGGCAUACUGAACUUGUGCAGUUAAAGGGGAUUAAAGUGC